UGGGGAAGCACGGUGGAGUUUUGAGCUAGGGAGGAAUGUCAUCUAGCCCACGCAUUGGAGGGCCCAGUGAUGCUUCGGUGAGAGGCUGCAGAUGGACGGCGGAGGGACCCAGCCAGCAGAGAUGCCGCUGGAGCUUAGAAUUCAUCCUUCUGUCUGUCAGUGUGACGGAAAGUGAUGGAGCCUUGAUUUUUGAUCUCAGCUUCCCAAAUUCUAAGCUGGGCUCCGUACAGAAUUCAUUUGGAGCUGGCUUGACUCUCUGAGGAAGGGGAGGCAGAGACAGGAGAACUCCCUGAAGCUCAUGGGCUAGCCAGACUGGCAGACACAGUGGUGAACGAGACCAGAUACCAUCUCAAACAUAGUGGCAGGACCCUAGCGAGGCCCAAAUGAGGUAACUUCUUGUGAGACAUGGCGUUCUGUCCCUUGCACGGGGAGAGAGAUGAGUGACCUCAGGAAGAAGGAUCAUUGCGGACCCUGCUUUGUAGAUGAAGAGAUGAAGAUAGAUACCCGAAGCCCAGAGAGGCUAAGGUGUCUGAGGUGCACAGCUCCCAAGGAACAAAGCUAGAAUCUGAAUUCAGGCACAGACGCACUGGAAGCCUUGGAGGCAUUGGAUGCCCUUGAAGUCCCCUGGCAGGCACCCCUGGUGGAGCCCAUCUCCGAUACAGCUCCCAACCCCGAGCGCCCAUCCCCCUCUUCAGCGUCCGUGGACGGACC